GAUCAUGACUCAGGAUGAACGCUAGCUACAGGCUUAACACAUGCAAGUCGAGGGGCAGCAUUUCAGUUUGCUUGCAAACUGGAGAUGGCGACCGGCGCACGGGUGAGUAACACGUAUCCAACCUGCCGAUAACUCGGGGAUAGCCUUUCGAAAGAAAGAUUAAUACCCGAUGGUAUAAUCAGACCGCAUGGUCUUGUUAUUAAAGAAUUUCGGUUAUCGAUGGGGAUGCGUUCCAUUAGGCAG
rnacentral:rRNA from 1 species